rnacentral:rRNA from 1 species
CCUACGGGGGGCAGCAGUGGGGGAUAUUGCACAAUGGGGGCAACCCUGAUGCAGCGACGCCGCGUGAGCGAUGGAGUACUUCUGUAUGUAAAGCUCUGUCAGCAGGGAAGAGAAUGACGGUACCUGACCAAGAAGCCCCGGCUAACUACGUGCCAGCAGCCGCGGUAAUACGUAGGGAGCAAGCGUUGUCCGGAUUUACUGGGUGUAAAGGGUGCGUAGGCGGCCCUGCAAGUCAGACGUGAAAUCCAUGGGCUUAACCCGUGAACUGCUUUUGAAACUGUAGGGCUUGAGUGAAGUAGAGGCAG